CCAAACCUUAAGACCUUUUCCUUUUCUUUCACAUCACCUUUAGGGUUAUUAACAUUAAACUAAACUCGGAAUGUUAACUAGAUAAUAUCAUUAUUAACAUAUACUUCAGGUAGUUAGUUAUAUAUUAGUUUAAUUUGCAUAGAUAAUCAUAUAUGGCGGUCAAUAAUUCGCAUAUCCAAUAAUCUUUUUUUAAUAUAAGCACUAAUGGAAUAUAUUGUAAUUUGUCUAGUAAAUGUUCAUCAAUUAAAAUUGUAAGCUAAAGAGGCAUGUAGCGAUGAAAACCCAGCUAAAUUGUUAUAUUUUUAGAUAAAUUAUUAAACAAAAAUUAGAUUUAAAAAUGUUUUCUUUUAAUAAUAAGGGAUAUUAUAAUACUAAUGCAACAUCCUCAAUAUUUUGGAUAACAAACACAUACAAAAUCAAUGCGAGCCGGUGGUAAAGGUACGCAUUUUCCACCAGAGAAAUCUGAUUCAACGCAAGUCUGAUUGCAGUGUAGAAACUGAUAGCAUGUACCUAUCACGAUCGGUCUCCCUUUACCUUGAGCUUUUGCAAAUUCUGCAAUAUAUGUUGUUUACAAAUAAUAUAGUGUAGUAAUUAGAAGCAUAAAAAUCCUUAAACAUGGAUCUCUUUCUCUAAAUUGUAAUGCAUUAUUCUGAUAUAUUGUAGCAAUAAAAACGUAUAUAGUAUGCACGGGCACAUAUAUAAGACGAUUAUAUAAUAUCGCAUAGAAAAUACAAUUUUAUAAUUUAAAUUACAUACCUGGAAUCAAGAGAACAGUGAGACAUAAGAACACAAGAAAAAUACAGUUACGGGUUAAAGCCAUUUUCAUCAUCCUUUUGUUUUUGCUAACGAAAGUAAAUAGGUGCUUACUUUUUAUAUACAUAGAAUGUUUGGAUUUAUGUUUUACUUGUACGAUAUACAGGAUAAGAUAAUAUCUGUUUUUGACCGAGACUAUUUGCUUUUUCUUUGUUUGUCGGCGAAACUUCCAUUAAGAAAAAAAGAGAUUGCGACUCAAAAUUUUAUUUUUUUAAAUAUAAAAUUAUACCCAAAUUUGAAUAAUUACAAAACUAACUAAAAGACUUAUGAAAUUAAAUCAAUUUCUUUGUGACCAAACAAAAAAAUCAAAACUCAUUUUUACGAAUAUAACCCCAAAAAAUCUUAUAAGUUUUCUGAGAAACUGUACAUAGAUGUCAAAGAAGUCUUAUGACAUAGUUGAUCUUAAAAUAAUUUAUAAAUUUCGUAAAGAAUAUUUUGAUAAGUAAAAAAUUAAAAUCAUGUAAUUAUUCAUAGUUUUAAGUGAUAUAAAUUAAGAUAUAUUAACAUUUAAUUAUUUUCAACAUAGAUGAGUGAAAGUAGUGAAUCAUGAUAUUUUUUGUCUAGGGUUUGACAAUAUUAUUUGUUGUAUUAUAUAUAUUUUUAUGGUUAGAUUUUGAAAACCUUAAAUGCUUUUUCGAAAAAUGAAAAUUUUACCCAUAUGAAUUUAUUUUUGAUUAUAGUAAGCACUCUUAUAAAUUUUAUUUGAUUUUAUGCAGUGUUUAGUUAGUCAAUUUAUUUAGGAUUUAUAUUUAAGGUCCAGAGAAGUCGUCCAAACCGUACAUAAUAUUAUUCCCGCCUAAAAUUUUAAGAAAUUUUAUUUUCCCGCAUAAAUAUUAUUUUAUCUAAAAAAUUUAAAAAAAUUAAAAAUUAAAAAUUUACAUAAUAAUAAUUUUUUACUAAAAUAAAACUGAAAAUCUAAUAAUAAAUCAUGAAUCCUUGUUCUUAAAAAAAAAAAACCCUAGUUCUCUCAACUUAUCCCCUCUCUCCCGUGCCUCUCUCUCUCUCUCUCUCUCUCACACCGGAGCUACAAGCCAAACCUUAAGACCUUUUCCUUCUCUUUCUCUCUAUGGCUUCUUUUCUCUCUGCCCAAAUCUCCGCUGGCAGUACUCAGCCCUCUGCUCUUUAUUUCUCCAGCCUCGCCGCACUUGCCCCAAGCUCGGCCCCGCUGUCUCCUUCUCCCACCGCGUCAACUCCUCUGUCUCCUUCGACCUCCAUUCUUACUGACCUCUUCGGAGGGCUCCACAUCUUUAGCCAUCGUUCUUCAUCAGUCUUCAAAUCAUGACGAACUCUUCAUGCAGCAAGACUCUUCAAUUCUCACAAACUCUCAAGGUUUGAUCCUUCUCUCUCUUUUUGUGGCAGGCUUAUGCUCUGUUGUGUGGGAUUGAUGAGAGGCUCAUAAGGAAGGAUAUUCCCAUGUUCGACUCUCUUCCUCUGUCAUCUUUUCCAUGCAGUAUUCCAGAGUAAGUUAUAACACAAGAAGGAAGUCUUUCUGAAAGUCGACGCCGCCGUCUCCUCCGGCCUCCGCCGCAUCAACUCCUCUAUCCGUCUUGUUUCUUCCUUGCAUCGGUCUCCUAGAGAUGCUAUGCCUAGCUGGGACAAGGUAGUGGUAGCAUACGAGCCAGUAUGGGAAUUGGAACUGGUAAAGAUGCUGUGCAAUCCAGAAACAAGAGAGACCUUUGUAUUGAUCUUUGUAUCAUUUUUAUCAGAUUCAUACUUUUGUAUUUUAAUCAUAAGUUGUCAAACUGUUGUAUAUAGAAGCUUGUCUUAGCCUUGUAUUUGAUGAUUGUGCAAAUACAAGCAGUUUCCAUUAAAGUUCAUUGUUAUGCUGAAUAAUGUUGUGUUGAAAAUUGUUGUGUUGCAGUUGGUGCCUGGUUACUGUCUGGUUUUUGCUAGUGGUGCCUAUCGUUUUUGCUAGUGAUGCCAUUUUGACAUUGACACUGGUUACAAGAGACAUGAAGUGUUUGGUUUCAGACAGCAUAUUUGUAGGGGUUCAGAUGGAAGCAAGUUGCAGAGAUAGUGAAAGUAAAGAGCUGAGACCGGAGACAAGGCAACUGAGUGUGGUGGGUGCGGGUAGAAUUGCGGUCAGAAGCUCUUUCAUUUGGUAUAAAAGAUGCUCGAAGCAAACAUCAAAUGAGUGUGGUGUUUAUGGUCAAAUGCUUUUGCAUGAUUGUAACAAGUCUCAUUUGGUAUAAAAGAUGAUAUUUUUUAGUUUUUCGUUAUCAAAUACAUUUCAUUUUCAUUUGCACGAUAACAUUA